AUACAUGAUAGUUUUGUUUAAAAUUUCUUAUUUAAUUAUAAGGCAUAAAUACAUCUUGUGAUCAAUUGUUUUGACAACAAGCACACAAAUGAAAACAUGUAGAGAAAAACUGAUAGAGGCAUGAACUGAAGAUUUACAAUUAGACAGCUAAAAAGAAACAAGCAAAACUCUUAUGUUUCCUAUGUAGUUUACACUGAAGGAAAAUACGUGGAAGGCAGGCAGUUUUAGGCUUUGAGAACUUAAUAGGGAUCCUGUUUACACUUGGCCUUUUCCAGGAAGGCUUCA
rnacentral:lncRNA from 1 species